rnacentral:rRNA from 1 species
AUUGAACGCUGGCGGCAUGCCUUACACAUGCAAGUCGAACGGUAACAGGUCUUCGGAUGCUGACGAGUGGCGAACGGGUGAGUAAUACAUCGGAACGUGCCUAGUAGUGGGGGAUAACUACUCGAAAGAGUGGCUAAUACCGCAUGAGAUCUACGGAUGAAAGCAGGGGAUCGCAAGACCUUGUGCUACUAGAGCGGCCGAUGGCAGAUUAGGUAGUUGGUGGGAUAAAAGCUUACCAAGCCGACGAUCUGUAGCUGGUCUGAGAGGACGAUCAGCCACACUGGGACUGAGACACGGCCCAGACUCCUACGGGAGGCAGCAGUGGGGAAUUUUGGACAAUGGGCGAAAGCCUGAUCCAGCAAUGCCGCGUGCAGGAUGAAGGCCUUCGGGUUGUAAACUGCUUUUGUACGGAACGAAAAGCUCUGGGUUAAUACCCUGGGGUCAUGACGGUACCGUAAGAAUAAGCACCGGCUAACUACGUGCCAGCAGCCGCAGUAAGAC